UGUUUGUGAGGUGUUAAUGGCGGUAUGCAGUGCUAGUGUUGUAUGUGCUUGUUUGUGUGGUGUUAAUGGCGGUAUGCAGUGCUAGUGUUGUAUGUGUUUGUUUGUGAGGUGUUAAUGGCGGUAUGCAGUGCUAGUGUUGUAUGUGCUUGUUUGUGUGGUGUUAAUGGCGGUAUGCAGUGCUAGUGUUGUAUGUGCUUGUUUGUGUGGUGUUAAUGGCGGUAUGCAGUGCUAGUGUUGUAUGUGUUUGUUUGUGAGGUGUUAAUGGCGGUAUGCAGUGCUAGUGUUGUAUGUGCUUGUUUGUGUGGUGUUAAUGGCGGUACGCAGUACUAGUGUUGCUUGUUUGUGAGGUGUUAAUGGCGGUAUGCAGUGCUAGUGUUGCUUGUUUGUGUGGUGUUAAUGGCGGUAUGCAGUGCUAGUGUUGCUUGUUUGUGAGGUGUUAAUGGCGGUAUGCAGUGCUAGUGUUGCUUGUUUGUGAGGUGUUAAUGGCGGUAUGCAGUGCUAGUGUUGUAUGUGUUUGUUUGUGUGGUGUUAAUGGCGGUAUGCAGUGCUAGUGUUGUAUGUGUUUGUUUGUGUGGUGUUAAUGGCGGUAUGCAGUGCUAGUGUUGCUUGUGUGUGUGGUGUUCAUGGCGGUACGCAGUGCUAGUGUUGCUUGUUUGUGAGGUGUUAAUGGCGGUGUGCAGUGCUAGUGUUGUAUGUACUUGUUUGUGUGGUGUUAAUGGCGGUAUGCAGUGCUAGUGUUGUAUGUG